CAGUCGCCGCGGUAAUACGUAGGGUGCAAGCGUUAAUCGGAAUUACUGGGCGUAAAGCGUGCGCAGGCGGUUAUAUAAGACAGAUGUGAAAUCCCCGGGCUCAACCUGGGAACUGCAUUUGUGACUGUAUAGCUAGAGUACGGCAGAGGGGGAUGGAAUUCCGCGUGUAGCAGUGAAAUGCGUAGAUAUGCGGAGGAACACCGAUGGCGAAGGCAAUCCCCUGGGCCUGUACUGACGCUCAUGCACGAAAGCGUGGGGAGCAAACAGGAUUAGAGACCCCUGUAGUCCCUGUCUCUUAUAA
rnacentral:rRNA from 1 species